AAUCCUAAGGCCGACGGGAGAAGCAUUGUUAAGGAACUCGGCAAAAUGACUCCGUAACUUCGGGAGAAGGAGUGCCACCGAGAGGUGGCCGCAGAGAAUUGGCCCAAGCAACUGUUUAGCAAAAACACAGGUCUAUGCAAAACCGUAAGGUGAAGUAUAUGGGCUGACGCCUGCCCGGUGCUGGAAGGUUAAGAGGAGAGGUUAGCGGUAACG
rnacentral:rRNA from 1 species